AGUGAACGCUGGCGGUAGGCCUAACACAUGCAAGUCGAACGGCAGCACAGUAAGAGCUUGCUCUUACGGGUGGCGAGUGGCGGACGGGUGAGGAAUACAUCGGAAUCUACUUUUUCGUGGGGGAUAACGUAGGGAAACUUACGCUAAUACCGCAUACGACCUACGGGUGAAAGCAGGGGAUCUUCGGACCUUGCGCGAUUGAAUGAGCCGAUGUCGGAUUAGCUAGUUGGCGGGGUAAAGGCCCACCAAGGCGACGCUCCGUAGCUGGUCUGAGAGGAUGAUCAGCCACACUGGAGCUGAGACACGGUCCAGACUCCUACGGGAGGCAGCAGUGGGGAAUAUUGGACAAUGGGCGCAAGCCUGAUCCAGCCAUACCGCGUGGGUGAAGAAGGCCUUCGGGUUGUAAAGCCCUUUUGUUGGGAAAGAAAAGCAGCAGGUUAAUACCCCGCUGUUCUGACGGUACCCAAAGAAUAAGCACCGGCUAACUUCGU
rnacentral:rRNA from 1 species